UACGAAGGGGGCUAGCGUUGCUCGGAAUCACUGGGCGUAAAGGGUGCGUAGGCGGGUCUUUUAAGUCAGGGGUGAAAUCCUGGAGCUCAACUCCAGAACUGCCUUUGAUACUGAGAUCUUGAGUUCGGGAGAGGUGAGUGGAACUGCGAGUGUAGAGGUGAAAUUCGUAGAUAUUCGCAAGAACACCAGUGGCGAAGGCGGCUCACUGGCCCGAUACUGACGCUGAGGCACGAAAGCGUGGGGAGCAAACAGG
rnacentral:rRNA from 1 species